CGGGAUGGAGAGAGGGAUAACGGGAUGGAGAGAGGGAUAACGGGAUGGGGAGAGAGCGGGAUAAUGGGAUAACGGGAUCGGGAUAACGGGAUAGAAGAAUAACGGGAUAACAGGAUGGGGAUCGGCAUCAAGGGGUGCUCCGGCCCCCGGAGCUGUGCGGCUGCCGGGGCCACGCGGAUCCGUGGGGGUGGCAGAACCUCUGGGCGCCUCCCACCCUCCCUGAUCCCGGCCUGAUCCUGGCCUCUUCCCUGCAGGAAUUACGAGGCUCAGAUCCGGAAUUACCGGGGGCCCGACCCGCUGGAGCCGUGGGACAGGUGAACGAGGCCCUGGCUCGGGAAAGCAGCAGGAGCACUGAGAACUGAAGGGGAAGCAGACUCCAGCUGGCAGGAACAAAAAAAAAAGAGCCCUUUUUUGGGCUAUGCAGGCUUGGAUGUGGAUGAGGUGGGAUUGGAGCAGUUUUGGAACCACCGUGGAUUCUCCCGAGGUUUGCUGUGAGGAGCUGCAGCAUUGGAGGGGCUGAGAUUUUCUGCUGUUCUGGGUUUUUGGUUUUUACUUUUUUUGCCUUUUGGGCCACCUCAUUGAAAAAGCUGGAAACCAAAGAAAGUGAAGGGAAUUCCCUAAUUCCUUUCUAGACUUUCAGAAGAGGCACAAAUCCACCUGGAGCUGCGGAAAGGGAUGAGAGUGGGAAUGGGAAUGAGGGGGGUAAUGCUGGGUUGCCCUCCCCUGAAGGGACCAGAACUGCCAGGAUAUUCACAGCGAGGCUGUGGGUGUAGAAUACUAAAACCUGUCAAGUUUUUAAUUUUUAUAUAUAUUUGUAUAGACAAAUAAUGCUGAUUUAUAUAUAAACUCAUUUUGAAAUAAAUCCUCUGUGUCUACUCUA